rnacentral:lncRNA from 1 species
GAUUUAUCCACAACGUGUGUAGCUUUGCCCAUGUCGAGCACCGGGGAAUCAGUAUUAGAUAGGUAGGGAAAAAAAGAGAGUGAAGAAUAGGUAAAGAAGAUAUUACAAUAAUGUUACUGGAUAAGUUAGUUUUUAUAGAAGAAGAAGAUGGCUAUUGGAGUUUUUUUUUUUUUUGAGGAUAUUUCUGCGUAAUUCUAAUCGUUGAAAUUUUUAAAGAGAUAUAUUUGUGAUGACAAAAUUAACAUUUCACCGCUCUUCUGUUAAAAAACUAGUGAGCUAACGGCAACAAACUGAAAGGACAAAUAUGAACUUUUAAAGAGAUAAAUAAAUUUGAAAACUUAAAUUCUGCAGAGAUAUAUCUGCUAUUUGAUAUAUGUACAGAAAACUGUAUAAAAUUAUUCUUAUAAAAAAU